rnacentral:rRNA from 1 species
GCCGCAAGGUGCAUGGCAGACGGGUGAGUAACGCGUGGGGAAUCCACCUCUUUGUGGGGAAUAACGCCCCGAAAGGAGUGGUAAUACCGCAUGAGACCAUGAGCUGGGAUGUUCAUGGUGAAACCUGGGGACCGAAAGGCCUGGGGCAAGGAGAGGAUCCUGCGUCUGAUUAGCUAGUUGGCGGGGUAAUGGCCCACCAAGGCGACGAUCAGUAGCCGGCCUGAGAGGGUGAUCGGCCACACUGGAACUGAGACACGGUCCAGACUCCUACGGGAGGCAGCAGUGGGGAAUUUUGCGCAAUGGACGAAAGUCUGACGCAGCAACGCCGCGUGGGUGAUGAAGGUCUUCGGACUGUAAAACCCUGUCGUCAGGGACGAAGGUUGGGGGGUUAAUAACCCUUUAGCUUGACGGUACCUGGAGAGGAAGCCCCGGCUAACUCUGUGCCAGCAGCCGCGGUAAUACAGAGGGGGCAAGCGUUAUUCGGAAUUAUUGGGCGUAAAGGGCGCGUAGGCGGUUUUUUAAGUCAGAUGUGUAAUCCCCGAGCUUAACUUGGGAACUGCAUCUGAGACUGGAAGGCUAGAGUACUGGAGAGGGUGGUGGAAUUCCUCGUGUAGCGGUGAAAUGCGUAGAGAUGAGGAGGAACACCAGUGGCGAAGGCGGCCACCUGGACAGUAACUGACGCUGAGGCGCGAAAGUGUGGGUAGCAAACAGGAUUAGAUACCCUGGUAG